rnacentral:lncRNA from 1 species
AUGGAGUUUGGCUUGGACAAAUGUUCGACAGUGGCAUUGAAGAAGGGAAAAAUCAUUGAAAGUGAGGGCAUAAAUAUGCCUAAUGGCCAAACAAUAAAGUGUCACCAGCCAGAGGCCUAUAAAUACCUGGGCAUACUACAACUGGACAACAUCAAGCAUGAACAUAUGAAAACUGUGGUCAGCAAAGAAUACACACAAAUGGUCAGAAAAAUUCUCAAAAGCAAGCUCAAUGGAGGCAACACCAUCAAGGCCAUAAACACCUGGGCCAUACCUGUCAUAAGAUAUACUGCUGGCAUCAUAAACUGGACACAGAUGGAACUGGACAAUUUGGACAGAAAAACAAGAAAACUCAUGACCAUUCAUCAGUCACUGCACCCUCGCAGUGAUGUUAACCGGCUGUAUCUGCCUAGAAGAUCAGGGGGCAGAGGACUCUUACAAGUCAAACAAGCAGUCAAAGAAGAAGAACAUGCCCUGGCAGAAUAUGUAAAGCAAAGUGAAGAACCUGCUUUGAUUGAAGUCAAAAAUCAGAAACUCCUCAAAGCACAGCAGACAAAAAACCAGUACAAGAAAGCCACACUACAAACUAGAGCUGACAGCUGGCACAACAAAACAUUGCAUGGAAAGUUCCUUGACAAAAUUGAAGGAAAAGCUGAUAAGGAGAAGACCUGGCUAUGGCUCACGAAUGGGACCCUGAAGAAGGAGACAGGUCUUCUCUUUAUCAGCUUUUCCUUCAAUUUUGUCAAGGAACUUUCCAUGCAGUGUUUUGUUGUGCCAGCUGUCAGCUCUAGUUUGUAGUGCGGUUUUCUUGUACUGGUUUUUUGUCUGCUGUGCUUUGAGGAGUUUCUGAUUUUUGACUUCAAUCAAAGCAGGUUCUUCACUUUGCUUGACAUAUUCUGCCAGGGCAUGUUCUUCUUCUUUGACUGCUUGUUUUACUUGUAAGAGUCCUCUGCCCCCUGAUCUUCUAGGCAGAUACAGCCGGUCAACAUCACUGCGAGGGUGCAGUGAAUGAUGAAUGGUCAUGAGUUUUCUUGUUUUUCUGUCCAAAUUGUCCAGUUCCGCCUGUGUCCAAUUUAUAAUGCCAGCAGUAUAUCUUAUCACAGGUAUGGCCCAGGUGUUUAUGGCCUUGAUGGUGUUGCCUCCAUUGAGCUUGCUUUUGAGAAUUUUUCUGACCCUUUGUGUGUAUUCUUUACUGACCACAAUCUUCACAUGUUCAUGCUUGAUGUUGUCCAGCUGUAAUAUGCCCAGAUAUUUAUAGGCCUCUGGCUGGUGACACUUUAUUGUUUGGCCAUUGGGCAUAUUGAUGCCCUCACUUUCAAUGAUUUUUCCCUUCUUCAAUGCCACUGUCGAACAUUUGUCCAAACCAAACUCCAUGUUGAUAUCAGUGCUAAAAAUUCGGACAGUGUUGGUCAGAGAUUGGAUUUCAGUUUCCGUUUUCCCAUAUAGCUUCAGGUCAUCCAUGUACAUCAAAUGUGAAAUUUUGUGAGAAUUCUUAGAUGUUUGGUAGCCGAGAUUUGUUUUUUGUAAGAUUGUUGAGAGAGGGAUCAUGGCAAUAAUGAAAAGCAGAGGGGACAAUGAGUCUCCCUGGCAAAUUCCUCUCCUGAUGUUGACAAGUCCAUAACUUUCAUUUCCAACAAACAGUUCAGUUUUCCAGUGCUCCAUCAUGUUUUCAAUGAAGGUGCCAAUGUUUUUACUAAUCCCGAUGGCGUCCAGGCACUUGAUGAUCCAGCUGUGUGGGAGUGAGUCAAAGGCCUUUUUGUAGUCAAUCCACGUCAUGUGAAGAUUAGCUUUUCGGCUCUUACAGUUCUCCAGAAUCAUUUUGUCAAUCAAUAACUGGUCUUUUGUGCCCCUGCUUUUCCGUUUGUUGCCUUUCUGUUCAUCUGGCAAGAUGUUUUUUUCUUCAAGAUAGUCUUGAAUUCUGUCAGCUAUGAUGCCAGUUAGUAGUUUAAACAUAGUGGGCAGACACGUUAUUGGCCUGUAGUUUCCUGGUGCUGCUCCUUUUGCUGGAUCCUUUUGUAUCAGGUAUGUUCUUCCAGUUGUUAGCCAUUCACUGAUACUUCCUUUCUGCAGCAUCUCAUUGAAUUGUUGGGCCAUUUUUCCAUGUAAACUAAUCAGAUGUUUGAGCCAAAAUCCAUGAAGUUGAUCACUAACAGGCGAUGUCCAGUUCUUGACUUUUUGCACUCGUUUGCUGAUCAUUUCAGUUGUUAUUUCCAUCUGUUCCAUUUUGUUCUGUGAGAAUUUUCCUUCAAACUCCUUUAUCCACCCAGCGUUUUUGUUGUAGUUCUUAUUGUUUUCCCAAAGCUCUUUCCAGAACUUCGUUGUUGCAGUUUUCUCUGGUUUUAUGGUUACUGUGUCUGUUGUUUGGUUCAGGCUCUGGUAGAACCGUCUUUGGUCUGAUUGAAACAGUUGAUUUUGUCUGUACUGGAUGAUUCUGGCUUCAUACCUUUCAAUUUUUCUGGCUGUUGCUGUAAUUUGUUCUUUCACAAUUUCCAAAGCUUCUUCAAUUUUUCUGGUGUUCAGUCAGUACUUUCUGAUCAGGUAUUGCUUGAUUUUGUCAUUCUUCAGUUUCUUCGCUUUCAUAUUUUUCAGGUUACUUGCAUCUGAUCUAAGUUUCUUGAUUUUCAACUCUAGCCUGACCUUCCACUUUGGUUUUCCAGUUGAUUUUCUUUGGGGCUGCCUUGGUUGUAGGAGCCCAAGCUCUUCUGUUACUAUCACUGCUGCACUGUAGGCAUACUGGUUUGUUUGUUCAAUUGAUGUUAUUUGGACAGUGGAGAGUACUGCAUUCACAUCUUUCAUGAGAGGUGCCAGGUGUCUCUUGGGCACUGUUUUUAGAGUUGGGAGCCGCUUUCUUAUUGCAUUUGCUGCAGCAUGAGCCAUGAUCUUGUCCUUGAGCUCUUGUUGUCUUGCUGUCAAGGUUCCUGGUGGUUCAGCAGAUGUUUCAAGUGCUGGUUCAUGAAAUUCUUGCAAAAGCUCCACACUUUCUUCUGGUUCAAUCUGUUCCACCAUUUCAAGUGUUGCUGGAGUCUCUGCUGCUGUCUGUGCUGUGGUCUGAUGGUAAUUUACUUUGCAAAUUUUCUGGAUUUCUUCGAGUUCAACUUCUCUGAACACUUUGUUUCUGAUUAUGAAUCUUCGUUGGUCAGCCAGUCGGGAUUCUGUUAUCUGUGAGUCAGGGUACUCUUGUUUCCAUAGCUGAUGCAUCCUUUUUUGGUAGCCACGCCUUUGAGGUUCAGAUUUGUAGUAGCAUUUCAUAAUUGUGCGGUUUUCUGGCAUUGUAUAUUUCUGCCGCUUCUGUGACUGUUCAUUUGGGGUUUGAUGAUUCCGUAGCCCACUUGUCAAUGGAUGUUCAGAAUCAGCAGCAUCCACCGCGGUCCUUUUUAUCCUGGGCGACGACCG